rnacentral:misc_RNA from 1 species
AAGUCGUAACAAGGUUUCCGUAGGUGAACCUGCGGAAGGAUCAUUAACACGUAUCCAACGUUAAACCCCCCGUGAACUUUUAUUGCGAACCACGCCUUUGUUAGAAAGUAGCAAUCCCUGGUAAAUCAUCGCCGAACGAGGUAACUGGCCUGGCAUUCCUCUGCUUGUUAGUGUCUGACAGUGUCACUAGCUCUGUACGAAUGGCGCAGUCACGAUCGCUAGAGCCCGACACGGCCGGCGACCGGGUCACCGGGCAUAGACCCCUAUCACCUUUGCAUGAAAACGGGCCUGCGCUUAAUUGUGCGGCCACCAAACUCGAACAACUGUUAACAAUGGAUAUCUUGGUUCUC